ACUGCUUGUAAGACCAAGGUACAUUUGGAAAAUGUACAAUUGACACACCAGCACUGCAUCAGUUUAGUAGCAGUUGACCAGUGGGUGCUAAUUUUAAUCUUUCUUUCUCGCAGGCUAUCUUUUUCUCCUUUGUUUCCUCCUCUUGUUUCACUGAUUCUUUUUACUCUUUCUAACUAACACUUUUCUCCUCUCUCUCACCAUGGUUGAUUCACACUAUUAUUGAGUCCUUUCUCAUUGACUUUGGAGUCAAUUGCAGUGGUGUUAACACAGAGACUCUUGUCAGUGUUUCUGUCAUGCCCAAGGUUCUACUGUGUCCAGAAAUUUGGUUCAUCUAAACUGUCUGGAAGCCAUUUUACAGUUUGAGUGCUUCAGAAUAAGCGAAACUCUGAAAAUGUUUUUAAAAAUUGUAAACUGACAAAUGACAACCAAUUUUUUGUUGAAUGGAAUAAUCCUUGCUAAAGCUACCCCCUGACAUACUUAACAGGA